UACGAAGGGGGCUAGCGUUGCUCGGAAUCACUGGGCGUAAAGGGUGCGUAGGCGGCAUAGCAAGUCGGAUGUGAAAUCCCUCGGCUCAACCAAGGAAGUGCAUCCGAAACUGCUGUGCUUGAGUACGAAAGAGGAUCGCGGAAUUCCCGGUGUAGAGGUGAAAUUCGUAGAUAUCGGGAGGAACACCAGUGGCGAAGGCGGCGAUCUGGGUCGAUACUGACGCUGAGGUGCGAAAGCGUGGGGAGCAAACAGG
rnacentral:rRNA from 1 species